AGGGGAAGAAGCUGGAGCCUGGAGUGGCGGAAGAGAAAGGCGGUGGUGGGGAAUUUGGGGGACGAAGCAGGGUUGGUUGUAGAAGAAAAAGACCAUCGCUGCCAUCCCUAUGGACCUGUCUUCGUGGUUCCGACGCAGCCUUUUAAGCACUGAGAAAAAGACCAAAAACCCAGAUCUCCAAAAACACUUUCCCAACCAGGACCAACCAUCUGAGCAACAAAAAGAAGAAGAAGAGCUACUCGGACUCACUGACAAAUUCAUCGAUUUCCUCAAGACCUUUACUCUAGAAACCUUCAAGAAGUUCCCCCUGCCCGCUGCUGAGGAAGGUACACAUGGUGAUGAUUUACCAACGACUUCAGGCAGUGUGCGGAAGGAUCUCACUGAAUGGCAAGAGCGACAUGCGAAGGCUGUGCUCUUGAGAGUGAAGGAAAUUUCACAACUCAGGUAUAAGCUAUGUCCAGGCUACUUGAAGGAACAUCAAUUUUGGAGAAUAUAUUUUUCACUAGUGAAAAGCCAUGUGACUGACGCUCCUAUGUCAUCAUGUAUAAGCCAUUACACAUACCCCUUUCUACUGCUGCCUCUACUAUCAUCAGCACUUCAGUCGUCGCAUUCCACAGCCUUCUGCCACGAACACCUCUAGUACAAGUAUCUGCAGUGACAUUAAGCAACAACUGCACCGUUAUGUUACCACCAUGGCCGACUUUGCCAACAGCCUCAUGAUACCCACUGCUAUAUAUGAGCUCCAUGCUAUUCGACUAGCAAAGCUCAAAGAGAUGGCAUCAGGGCACGGAAAAUCAACAGAUACCGAUGCAUGUGAAGUUGAGAUGGCCGAGACAAACCGUCCAGCAAAUUUGCUGCCUCCUACAUCAUAGCACCAUUGAAAUCUGCAUUUUUUUUUUUUUUUUUUCAGCGGCAGAAGCAGGGAGCGUGGGCUGUGUGGCGGUAAUAUAUAUUA